UCUGCAUCCUGCGUCGGGACCACCACUGU
rnacentral:piRNA from 1 species